CUUGUCUACAUUGAACAGGUUUUCUUCAUAAUAAAAAAUAUACUACAUGUUAAAUAUUUAUUAAAGGAAAGUAGUGAGCCUGGAGGAAGGCAGGUGGGAGGGCAAAUAUAGACAGCAGGUGACAUGACUAAGCUUGCAUAUGCAGAAACCCCAUUUCCGGCUCUGCAGCAGCAAGGCCACAAGAUUGCCCAGCUCCAGCAACACUGCCAGGACCUGGCAGGUGGCAGGCAGAAUAAAAGCCAGAAUCUCACCAGUGGGAAGAGCCCCCAAGAUGCAGCCCAGACUGCCUGCUCUCCUGUGCACAAUUGCAGCCUUCAUCUGCCUUGGUCCAAGCAAGAUUGAGAGUGUCGACAUAUCUACAGAUGUGGUGUAUGAGGAAGAGGGACAAUCUGUGACCUUGGAAUGCAAGUUCACAGUCAGCUUUGCUUACUAUAUAAUGUACUGGUAUCGACAGUCUUCCAGUAGAGAAAUGACUCGCAUAAUUGAUAUUUACUCUCAAAAUAGGCGAAACAGUGAAGGGCGAUAUUCUGUGGAGUUUUACAAAGAGAGCCAAACUCUAAAGCUCACCAUCUCGAGCUUGACACUGAGUGACUCGGACGUCUAUUUCUGCGCUGUCAGAGAGGUGCACGGUGAUGGCAGUGGCAGGGAGUGCCUUACAAAAACCCCCAGGGCUCAACACCAGACAGCCACCUGCUCCAGGAGCCAAGGAGAGAACAGCCCACAGAACAGGAAGAGGGUAGACAGAGGCAUGGUAGGUGGCUCUUCGGGGUCUAGAGAGAAGGUAAUGAAUGUUCUAAAAACAAUUUUCCCACAUUUGAUAUUAAAGAAAGAGUUGUGGUUACAAGAGCAUUUUCAUCUCUGAAUCUGGUACCUAAGCACGGCUGAUCCAAGGUGUACCUCUGUCAUUUCUGCCUGCCCAACAUCCACCCCCCUUUUUGGUGACAGCACCAUGAUUUUCCCUGGAUAAACAAGCCUCCCACCCCACAACUGGGUUUGGAUGAGGCUAACCCCAACCUUGGACUCCCGACCCAUGAGUACAGUUUAUCUCUGACCACAGCCAUUGGUUUAAGGAUAGGAACAUGACCCAAGCCCACAUCCCCAAAUUUAAUAUGGAGCUAUUGAGAAUGCUGUUGGAGAUGGAAGAGGCUAGGACAUUAUUAAAAAGCCAUGAGAAGCCGAAAAUGGAGUCUUUUCCCCCCUACAAAAUCAAAUCAAG
rnacentral:lncRNA from 1 species